GACGAACGCUGGCGGCGUGCCUAAUACAUGCAAGUAGAACGCUGAAGGAGGAGCUUGCUCUUCUGGAUGAGUUGCGAACGGGUGAGUAACGCGUAGGUAACCUGCCUGGUAGCGGGGGAUAACUAUUGGAAACGAUAGCUAAUACCGCAUAACAGUAGAUGUUGCAUGACAUUUGCUUAAAAGGUGCAAUUGCAUCACUACCAGAUGGACCUGCGUUGUAUUAGCUAGUUGGUGGGGUAACGGCACACCAAGGCGACGAUACAUAGCCGACCUGAGAGGGGGGUCGGCCACACUGGGACUGAGACACGGCCCAGACUCCUACGGGAGGCAGCAGUAGGGAAUCGUCGGCAAUGGACGGAAGUCUGACCGAGCAACGCCGCGUGAGUGAAGAGGGGUUUCGGAUCGUAAAGCUCUGUUGUAAGAGAAGAACGAGUGUGAGAGUGGAAAGUUCACACUGUGACGGUAUCUUACCAGAAAGGGACGGCUAACUACGUG
rnacentral:rRNA from 1 species